GCCAACUUAGCUCAGCUGGUAGAGCAGCUCAUUCGUAAUGAGCAGGUCGCCGGUUCGACUCCGGCAGUUGGCUCGA
rnacentral:tRNA from 12 species